UGGGGAAUUUUGGACAAUGGGCGAAAGCCUGAUCCAGCAAUGCCGCGUGUGUGAAGAAGGCCUUCGGGUUGUAAAGCACUUUUGUCCGGAAAGAAAUGGCUCUGGUUAAUACCUGGGGUCGAUGACGGUACCGGAAGAAUAAGGACCGGCUAACUACGUGCCAACAGCCGCGGUAAUACGUAGGGUCCAAGCGUUAAUCGGAAUUACUGGGCGUAAAGCGUGCGCAGGCGGUUGUGCAAGACCGAUGUGAAAUCCCCGAGCUUAACUUGGGGAAUUGCAUUGGUGACUGCACGGCUAGAGUGUGUCAGAGGGGGGUAGAAUUCCACGUGUAGCAGUGAAAUGCGUAGAGAUGUGGAGGAAUACCGAUGGCGAAGGCAGCCCCCUGGGAUAACACUGACGCUCAUGCACGAAAGCGUGGGGAGCAAACAGGAUUAGAUACCCUGGUAGUCCACGCCCUAAACGAUGUCAACUAGUUGUUGGGGAUUCAUUUCCUUAGUAACGUAGCUAACGCGUGAAGUUGACCGCCUGGGGAGUACGGUCGCAAGAUUAAAAGCUC
rnacentral:rRNA from 1 species